rnacentral:miRNA from 1 species
AAGGGUGGCCAGCUGUCCAGGUUUGUCUGGGACCAUCCUGGGUUUUAGCACAGAAAGUCCCUACAUCCUGGGAAAGAUCCUUCGUCCUGGGCCAACUGGGUCUGCUGGUCACCUGCCCCUUG